AACGCAUAUUGCGCUCUUUGGUAUUCCGAAGAGCAUGCUUGUUUGAGUAUCAGUAAACACCUCAAAGUCUUUUUUUGUUAAGAGACUUUGGACUUGAGCAAUCCCAACACCUCUCUCUCCAAGAGAGAGGCGGCGGGUUGCUUGAAAUGCAGGUGCAGCUGGACUUUCUCCUGAGCUAAAAGCAUAUUCAUUUAGUCCCGUCAAACGGAUUAUUACUUUUGCUGCAGCUAACAUAAAGGGAGAUUGACCAUUUUGGCUGACUGAUGCAGGAUUUUCACAAGAGUCUUCAAACCACUCUUGUUAAACUCGAUCUCAAAUCAAGUAAGACUACCCGCUGAACUUAA
rnacentral:misc_RNA from 1 species